GAUGAACGCUGGCGGCGUGCCUAAUACAUGCCAGUCGAGCGAACAGACGAGGAGCUUGCUCCUUUGACGUUAGCGGCGGACGGGUGAGUCACACGUAGGUAACCUACCUAUCAGACUGGGAUAACUUCGGGAAACCGGAGCUAAUACCGGAUAAUAUUUCGCACCGCAUGGUUCGAUAGUGAAAUAUGGCGUUGCUGUCACUUCUCGAUGGACCUGCGCCGUAUUAGCUGGUUGGUAAGGUAACGGCUUACCAAGGCAACGAUACGUAGCCGACCGGAGAGGGUGAUCGGCCACACUGGAACGGAGACGGGGUCCAGACUCCUACGGGAGGCAGCAGUAGGGAAUGUUCCGCAAUAGGCGGAAGCCUGACGGAGCAGCGCCGCGUGAGUGAUGAAGGUCUUCGGAGCGUAAAACUCUGUUAUUAGGGAAGAACAAACGUGUAAGUAACUGUGCACGGCUUGACGGUACCUGAUCAGAAAGCCACGGCUAACUACGUG
rnacentral:rRNA from 1 species